UCUGUAGGCGGUGCGGCAAGUCGGGAGUGAAAAACUCGGGGCUUAACUCCGAGACUGCUUCCGAAACUGCCGUGCUGGAGUGCGGGAGAGGUGAGUGGAAUUGCAGGUGUAGCGGUGAAAUGCGUAGAUAUCUGCAGGAACACCAGAGGCGAAGGCGGCUCACUGGACCGCAACUGACGCUGAGAGACGAAAGCUAGGGGAGCAAACAGGAUUAGAUACCCUGGUAGUCCUAGCCCUAAACCAUCAGGACUUGGCGUGGGUCCCGUUCGGGGCCCGUGUCGGAGCUAACGUGUGAAGUCCUGCGCCUGGGGAGUACGGUCGCAAGGCUGAA
rnacentral:rRNA from 1 species